CUUCUGUGGAGAGGAGAAACAACAGGAGUCUAGGGUGAAGUGUUUCGCGGAAACAUUUAAAAUUCAUGAACAACGCGUUUGAACUGGCGGGUGUGUUGUUUGCUGCAGUCAGCGCAGGAGAAGCGAGGACACGAGCUGAAGAGAACUGUUGUUGAGACGGGUUCCAAAAUUUAAGAUAAGAAGGGCAAUCUCCAGUUUAUGGCAUCUCUAUAAUGCCAGUUCCACCACCACCUCCACCCCCAGGGCCCCCUCCCCCUAUGUCUGGGACUCCCCUACCUCCUCACCCACCUCUUUCCCAGGAUGCACCUUCUAAACUGAAACAUGAUGAACAGAGAGGCAGGAACGCAUUGUUGGCAGACAUCCAGAAAGGAGCUCGUCUGAAGAAGGUGAUGCAGAUUAAUGAUCGUAGUGCACCAGCAG